AUGGGGUUCAGAGUUGGAGAUCGAUGAGGGGCCGGGGGGGAAGACGAAGGUGUAAUGUAAAUGCUCACGGUUUCGGUUCGGAACCAAGUUAAAAGCACCGAACCGUUUAUCCAAGAAGUGGAAGCAGCGCAAAACGGACAGGAAGAGAAGCGAAUGACGCUGCGCCUUCCUUCCCUCCCCAUUCAUCGUCGUCGGCCUCCUCCGCCGUGGGCAACUGCUCUGCAGACUUCCUCUUCCUUCUCCUUUAUUUUGGUUCUCUGUUUUAUCGUUCUCCUGUAACCGCUGGGGAGAUCUCGUAGUGGCGCGCUAUUUCGAGUUGCCGCUGCGGGAUGCACUCUCUCCUCUCCGAAUCCAUGUAUCGUGAAGAAUUAGGGUUUUGAAAUUGCUGGAGCUCGCUACUUGCUGGCGGGGACAUGGCUCCCUGCAUGGCCGAGCUGGUUCAGUGAUAGAGUUUUGUGUGGACUAGGGUUUUUUUUUUUUUUUUAGGUUUCUGUUUUCCUUUCUUCUGGUUUUUCUUUUUGGUUCUGCGUUUUCCCUUUUUGCGGCGGUGGCUGGGGUGGAGGAUGGAAGCGCAGAGUUCUCGGAGACCGAUUGACAAGCAGAGGGAGAUCGGGCUGAAGAAACCUAGAUUGGAAGAGACGGCUGAGAGGAGGGUCCCUGCACGAGCUGCUGGGACCGGUAGCAAUGCGUUCCUCGCCAGGUUUAGAACGAACGACAGGGAAAGAGACGGUAGCAGAGGGAGGAUCGCCGUUGAUGAAGUUAAGGAGAGAGAGGAGCCUGGCAGGAGGGCUUUCCAACAGCAGCAGGAGCUCUUGAGUCAGUACAAGACAGCACUUGGCGAGCUCACGUUUAACUCGAAACCGAUCAUCACGAACCUUACGAUUAUUGCCGGGGAGAAUACACAUGCGGCCAAGGGAAUCGCCGCCACUAUCUGUGCAAACAUCAUAGAGGUCCCCAAUGAGCAAAAGUUGCCCUCUUUAUAUCUUCUGGACAGUAUUGUAAAAAAUAUUGGAGGAGAUUAUGUCAAGUACUUUGCCGCACGUCUGCCUGAGGUAUUCUGUGAGGCCUACAGGAAAGUGGACCCAUCUACACAUCCCAGUAUGCAGCAUCUUUUCAGGACUUGGAGGAGUGUUUUCCCUUCUCCAACACUUCGCAUCAUUGAGCAACAACUUAAUUUUCCUCCUAGCACAAACAGUUCAUCUUCUGGAGGAGCCUCUACUUCGAAAACUGACCCUCAAUCUCAGCGGCCAGCACACGGUAUUCAUGUAAAUCCUAAAUAUUUUGAAGCGCGGCAGCAUCUUCAGCAGUCGAACAGGUCUAAGGGAAGUGAAACAGAAAACAGUAGGAGCAUAUUGAAGGAGGAUAUAGUGGGGCCUGCACAAACUUCUGUUUCUGGGGGUCCAAAACGAUGGGCAGAGGUCUCUGCUAAGAUGGCGGGGGAUGAUAAACUUGUUGAGUCAGUAUAUGAUAAAAGGCCUGGAUCAGGAUAUUUGGACUAUGAGAUUAUCUCAGAUCCUCCGAACCAUCAAAAGGUGGCAAAUAAAUGGUCAGGUGAGAGGACGACUGAGGGCAAUGAAGGUACUGAUGAUGCUUGGCACAGAGGAACUGGUGGCAACAAAGCUAACACUCUUCUUGGUAGAAAGAACAGUUAUGACAUGGCACACUUAUCUUCACGUGGUUUAGUGGAUUCAUAUGGAAAUCAUAGAGCUUCUAGAUCUGGAGGAACUUUGCCUCAGCUGGAUUCAGUGCCAAAUACUGCAAGUCUAGGCUCAAGAAACACUUUGCGGAACUGGAAGAACUCUGAUGAAGAGGAAUUUGUGUGGGAUGAUAUGAACUCCAGGGUGACUGAUAUCAUAGAGGCAGAUGGAUUAAAAAAAGGUGGUCGCAAUCAUGAUUAUUCAGCGAAGUCUCUGGGUGAGCAGAUGCGCAAAUGGAUGCCUGCAGAUUCUGAUCAACUUGCUCGAAGGUGGAGUGAAGGUGGUCUUCUAUCUCGUUCAGAGCAGCCUGUUCGUGGAAAUGAUAAAUUUCCUGUUCAAAUGGAGCUUGAUGAUCAAGAAUCUCUUGGAUGGAAGGAAGCGCAUCCAUUGGAUAAGAAGGGAAUAUCAAUAGAUUCAUCUUCUGCAGGACAAGAAGUAGAACCUAGAUUUGGACAUCAGACUGGUCGAAUUCCACUAAACCAAUUGAACUUUAGUCGCUCAAUAUCAAGGUUACAUCCUUCUGAUGCUCUAAAGCAUCCAACUAAUGAUUCCAUUGGUACAGAUCAAGUGGAGGGUUUUUCUGUCAUUUUAGCUGGUAGCUCAAAUGCCAAUGUGUCUCAACCAUCCCUAGCCAAGGUGGGAGCCGGAGUGCAGAUUGGACCUAUUGCUGCUUCGACUUUUGGCUCUCUCCAGCAUGUUGCCCCAGGCUUCAGUGGGACGCCGGCACAGCAGCAAAAUUGGAAGCCACUGUCACCUUCUGGUCAUGCAUUGCAUCAACGAUCACAUUCGCCUUCGUCUUCAUCUCCUCAUCAGCUAGCAUUUCGUGUUCAACCACAGAAUUUACCUGACCAAGAGCAUCCAGAAGUUAUGUCCUUUCCUAUAGGUCAAAAUGCCUUGCGUGGUGGUCUGGCAAAGGCAUCACCAGAAAUCCAGGGCAAUCAAAAGCUUCAAGGUCAAGCUAGCAAUCAAUUCAACUCUAGAUUGUCAGUGCAUUUGCAACCUCUUCAACAAUUUGAUAAUAUUUCAUCUACUCCAGCACAGCAAAGGACACACCUUCCUUUUCUGCAGGCAGAACCAUCUCAGCCACCUGGUCUGUCGAAGCAGGCACAAACACAACCUCAAGACUUUGGUUUCCAAACUAUGACACCCACAAGUCUCCUUAAAAAUUCUUCUGCAGGUCUUUCAGGUCAUACAAGCACAAGUACUUUAUUGGCUACUAUUGUGAACAAUGGCUUGCUGUCUUUGAACUCUGCUGCUUCAGGGGACGUCACUAAAUCAACUAGCAGUUUUUCGGACUUGAGUCACUCAGAACUUAUACAUUCACAGUCACGUAUGAGUACAUUGCCUCCUCUGCCUACCGGCCCCCCACCCAUGCAAAUCUCAACAUCUUCACAAGGCCCAGGCCAAGAGAGUGCGUUAUCUGCUUUAUCCCAGCCACUUCUUGGAACUUCUCAACCUCCACUACCUCCUGGUCCCCCACCUCCAUCAUCAGUUGUAGGUACCUCGUCACAAAGCUCUGGAAAUGUUGCAACAAAUCCACUUUCAAAUUUGUUGAGCUCCCUGGUUGCUAAAGGUUUGAUUUCAACAUCAGCUCCAGAAACAUCCAAAGUAACCCCAACUCUUGUCCCAAUUCAAACCCAGAAUCAGAAUGAUGGUGCUGUGGCCAACAACUCCAUAUUAGGCUCGUUGAAACCAAAUUUGCUUAUGACUUCUCCUCUUACCCCUCCAGAUGGUGACCUGUCUAUUUCCGAGUCUAGUUCACUACCUUCUGGUCAUCCAAAUGCUUCAGCUGAAAACAGGGAGUGCAUAGGUGUUGAAUUUAAGCCUGAGGUCAUCCGCGAGUUUCAUGCCUCCGUCAUCAAUGGUUUGUUUGAUGACCUUCCAUGUCAGUGCAGCAUAUGUGGCUUUCGGCUCAAAGAUGAAGACAGUCUCAGCAAACACCUUAGUUGGCAUGCUUCAAGGAAGCUUGAGGUUAAUAAUACCAAGAGAAUAUCGAGGAAGUGGUAUGCUAGUUUGAGAGAGUGGGUUGAAGGAGAGGUUGGUCCAUCAUCUAAUGCCAUGGACGUCCUAGCACAUGGGUCAACUCUGUGUGCUGAAAGUUCUGAGCCAAUGGUCUCUGCCGAUGAAAGCCAAUGUAUAUGUGCAUUAUGUGGAGAGCCUUUUGAAGAUUUUUACUGUCACAAGAGGGAUGAGUGGAUGUUUAAAGGGGCAGUAUUUAUGAGUAUGUCUACAAAUGAUGCUGGAACUGUGGAUCCUGACUUUUCUCCAAAACAGAUAGUGCAUGUAAAUUGUUCGUCAAAGAGCAGUUGUGGUGGCUUGGAAGACUGAAUGUAGUCUCCUGGGCCAAACAACUAGUUGACUCGUCCACAAGAAAAAGUCAAGGUUAUUCUUUCUAUUGCAGGUGCAGGUUCGGCAAUAAGCUGUCAAUGUGUAUUUGUUCACGUUGGGUGUAGAUGGUCUUCUUAAUUGAUUGUCUUCUGCCUGGAAAGUGGAAGCUAAAAUUCCACUCACCUGUCAUUUUUUGUAUCUGCUGAAAGAAGUAGAUUUACCAAUAGGUACUCAUUUCUCGAGGUCGGCUGGUCAAGUUUAUUUUAUGGGUCCGUGUGGGCAUCGGCUUAGCUAUGACUAACGACAACUUUCAUGGACGCUCAUUAUCAUGGGCCCUGAGCUUGCAAGUUACAUAUUUGGCUUUCGGCAAAGUAUUAAUGAGCAGAAGUCUGCGUUCGUGCUUAUGGAUAAAGCUGUAUGAAUAUUUAUUUUCUGACGCGCAUGAGCGCACAAAAAGACUCGUACAUGACACAUAAAUUCAACCAGUUCCAAACAGGAUUGGGUUUUCCCCUUC